rnacentral:rRNA from 1 species
AAUCCUGAAUUCGAAAGGGUGAUGGAUUCAACCGUAUUCCGGACAGUCCGGGACACCUCCUGCCAGAUGGCUCCGGUCGCCCGCGGCGAUUCAUUUCGCUCGCGGUGUCGUUCCCGGUGGUCACUCGGCGGUUGGGGCUGUAGCACGCGGAGGCCGGAGCGGCGAUNUUCCUCCCUAGUANAAACGUCGCGACCCGUUGGGUGCCGGCCAAAGGCCCGGGCAGGCAGCCCGUGCGUCCCUCGGUUUCGCAAGAGAUCGAGGUCGCGCGGACGUCCGGUGACCCGGCCGGCCGCCCGACGGUAGGACCAGAGGAGUCGAUCCGCUAAAUGAGAAGCACUUGGGAUGUGUGCAGCGUCCGGCCCGGCGGCCGGCGUGGGCGGGGAAUCCGACCUCGGUCGGUCUGGGGUCCGUGCGGCGUCACGGCCCUGGCCCCGUUUCGCGUCCGGCACGUCGGUGUCCUCGGACUCGGAUCAGCGCUCCCGUCCGCGGCGCC